ACGGUGAGGGAUGAAAGCUGGGGGAGCGAACCGGAUUAGAUACCCGGGUAGUCCCAGCCGUAAACGAUGCGAGCUAGAUGAUUCGAUCGCAGUUCGCGAUCGAAGUGUCGCAGGGAAGCCGUUAAGCUCGCCGCCUGGGGAGUACGGUCGCAAGGCUGAAUUGCGAUCAGAAGCAUUCUGACGCACAGUUCACUUAAAGGAAUUGGCGGGGGAGCACCACAAGGGGUGAAGCCUGCGGUUCAAUUGGAGUCAACGCCGA
rnacentral:rRNA from 1 species